rnacentral:rRNA from 1 species
GAUGAACGCUGGCGGCGUGCCUAAUACAUGCAAGUCGAGCGGACAGACGGGGGGCAUCCUCCUCUGACGUUAGCGGCGGACGGGUAAGUAACAGGAACAUAACCUACCGAUAAGAAUGGCACAACUUCGGGAAUCCUGAUCUAACACACGAUAAUCUAUUGAACCGCAUGGUUCAAUAGUCAUAGACGGAUUUGCUGUCACUUUUAGAUGGUUCGGUGACGCAUUAGCUAGUUGGUAAGGUAACGGCUUACCAAGGCUACGAUGCGUAGCCGACCUGAGAGGGCGACCGGCCACACUGGGACUGAGACACGGUCCAGACUCCUACGGGAGGCAGCAGUAGGGAAUCUUCCGCAAUGGGCGAAAGCCUGACGGAGCCACGCCGCGUGAGUGAUGAAGGUCUUCGGAUUGUAAAACUCUGUUAUUCGGGAAGAACAAGUGUGUACGAAAAAAUACACGUAUUGACGGUACCUAAUCAGUAAGCCCCGGCUAACUACGUG